GCCGGAUUAACUCAGAGGUAGAGUAGCGGUUUUGUAAACCGAAAGUCAGGGGUUCGAAUCCCUUAUCCGGCACCA
rnacentral:tRNA from 1 species